UACGUAGGGUGCGAGCGUUGUCCGGAAUUAUUGGGCGUAAAGAGCUCGUAGGCGGUGUGUCACGUCGGCCGUGAAAACCUGCAGCUUAACUGUGGGCGUGCGGUCGAUACGGGCAUCACUGGAGUUCGGCAGGGGAGACUGGAAUUCCUGGUGUAGCGGUGAAAUGCGCAGAUAUCAGGAGGAACACCGGUGGCGAAGGCGGAUCUCUGGGCCUUACCUGACGCUCAGGCGCGAAAGCUAGGGGAGCGAACUGG
rnacentral:rRNA from 1 species